rnacentral:sRNA from 1 species
GGUUCGACUCGAGCGAAGCGAGAGAACGUUGCGUCAGCAACGGCCCGCAGGGCGAGUCACGCAGUGGCGAGUCAUCCUCUAUCACCGACCA